AAAAACAAGGCUGUAUAUAUUCUAAAAUUGGAAAGAUAUGGAGAAGAUUAGCAUGGCCUCUGCUCAAGAAUGACAUGCAAAUUUGUGAAGUGUUCAAGAGCCUU